UACGUAGGGGGCAAGCGUUGUCCGGAUUUAUUGGGCGUAAAGAGCGUGUAGGCGGCUAGAUAGGUCCGUUGUGAAAACUCGAGGCUCAACCUCGAGACGUCGAUGGAAACCAUCUGGCUAGAGUCCGGAAGAGGAGAGUGGAAUUCCUGGUGUAGCGGUGAAAUGCGCAGAUAUCAGGAAGAACACCCGUGGCGAAGGCGGCUCUCUGGUACGUGACUGACGCUGAGACGCGAAAGCGUGGGGAUCAAACAGG
rnacentral:rRNA from 1 species